rnacentral:tRNA from 1 species
GCCCGCGUGGCCUAACGGAUAAGGCGUCUGACUUCUAAUCAGAAGAUUGCCGGUUCGGUUCCGGCCGUGGGUU